UCUCUACUCUUUUCUCUCUAUAUUUUCCCUUUUGAAAAUGAAACCCAUUGCUCUUUCUCUGAUUUCUGACUUAACCUCAGACAUUCUGUCUCUUGCUGUUCUUCUCUAUUAUGAUAGUCUUCUCUUUGCAUUUGGAUUAGGACAUCACUACCACCACCACCAAUCCUUAUAUAUACACCCUGUUCAUGUACUCCUAAGGUGCAAUAUUAAGAUUAUGCACCCUAUUCUCAUCACCAUACACCUGUCCAACACCCACAACAUCUUUUGCUUAAUCCCCGACAACCCAGUUUCCCAUGUUGUACUGCCUUUGCAUGUCUUCUGUCUUGCGAUUCCCUCACAGGGUUAAACCAAUUGGAUCCUAAUAUGUGCAUUAUACCAAAAGGAAUUGAACCCUUCAAGGGUUUAAGGGUAAUGUUGUCCCUAUAACUAUGGUCAAACAUGCACUAUAACUAUGCUGCAUUGCACUAAAAUGGGGCUUUAAUAGUUCCUGUUUUACAGUUAUGCCCUUGUGUAAAUAUAUAUAGUAGAUAACAAAGGGGUAAAUGCACAUUUUGAUCACCCCUACAAGAAGACUGCAGGUGCCCUUUAAGGGCAAAUUUACCAUCACAUGGUGACACUUUUCUGUGAACUUGGAUACGUAAAAUCCGGGGUACUCUUACCCUCUCUAGUCGAAUUACCAAAAUGUCCCCAUGUGAAUAUAUUUUUUAAGGUAAUUUAUUUUUCUUGGUUUAAUAUUUAAAAUGGACCCCACAAAUUCAAGCAGUAGUAAUAUUUGACCAAAGGGUCAAAUCGAGUAGCCUCCGUUUAAAAGAAAAAAAAAAGAGAGUUUCAGGGUUGAAGCAGUAUUUAAUGCUUGAUAGAUCUUGUUAAAUGGCACUAGAUUCUAUCUAGAGAAGCUGCUUGUUUAGCACCCUAGAAUCCACAAACGAAUGUUAGGCCAAGAAGCACUGCUGUGUAUAGGGUGCCGGUGGCUGUCUCGAGAAAUUUAGCCUCGACUCUGCUGCCUGCCUAUGGGGUCAGGAGCAGAAGUCAGGGCCCCCUAUCUGUCUCUCUGUCUUUCUCUUUCUAUAGCUCUGGUUAAGUCUCGUAAUUUCAAGUGAGGAAAUGAAACAAAUUUAUAGCAUUUUAAAAACAACCCAAUUCAUGGGUCCCAACAUGGGAAAAAGGGUAGCUGAGGGAUUUUGAAAUAGAUAAAGGAGUAGAAAGUAAAAGGUGAGAAGAGGACAGAGGUUGCUUGCGCAAAUCUAGCUAAUCUGGGGCUUCCUUCUUUGCAAGUAAAGUAGAGAAAGAGGAGGAGAUAUGGGGCUUUGUUUUAAGCCAAAGAAUUAAAAAAAAGAAAAAAGAAACCGGACAAAAACACACCAAUCUCCCAUCUCACGCAUUUUACUUUGGCCUCGUUAUGUUUUAGGCAGACACUCACUGCAUUUGCCCUAUAGCCUCAAAAACAGAAAAUAAACAACUCCAUGUUAUCAGCUUCUUUCGCUAGCUAGCUAGUAGCCACUCUUUAUUACUGCUAUUCCAUCGUCUUCUUCUUCUUCUUCUUCUUCUUCUUCUAUCUUUCUAAGAUAGGACAAAGAAAACCCAACUCAGAGGAAAGAACAAAGGUUGUGGAGGUGGAGGUGGUGGUAGAAGAUGGUGGGAGCUGUGGCUGAUAUCACGUGGAAAAUUGAAGCGUUAUGUUUGGUCUUUGUCAUGAUGAGAAUAGUGUUAAAGCAAAUGGGUAUAUUGUGCUUACUUGAGAAAUGGGAUAUUGGAUAUUCAAGAAACUCCAUUUCUGUUGUCCAAAUAUUUCAAAAAGCUUUCUACAUUUUCUUCUUCUUCUUCCUAGUUGUCGGAUUCUGGUAAUAAUGCUGUUACGUUGUUGUUGGGUUCGGUUGGUGGUGAUAUUGGCUGGACGGCUCAAUCUCUCUUUAUUUUAACAAUGAUACAGGAGUAAAAUCAUUUUACUUUC